rnacentral:rRNA from 1 species
AUUGAACGCUGGCGGCAGGCCUAACACAUGCAAGUCGAGCGGAUGAAGGGAGCUUGCUCCUGGAUUCAGCGGCGGACGGGUGAGUAAUGCCUAGGAAUCUGCCUGGUAGUGGGGGAUAACGUCCGGAAACGGGCGCUAAUACCGCAUACGUCCUGAGGGAGAAAGUGGGGGAUCUUCGGACCUCACGCUAUCAGAUGAGCCUAGGUCGGAUUAGCUAGUUGGUGGGGUAAAGGCUUACCAAGGCGACGAUCCGUAACUGGUCUGAGAGGAUGAUCAGUCACACUGGAACUGAGACACGGUCCAGACUCCUACGGGAGGCAGCAGUGGGGAAUAUUGGACAAUGGGCGAAAGCCUGAUCCAGCCAUGCCGCGUGUGUGAAGAAGGUCUUCGGAUUGUAAAGCACUUUUAGUUGGGAGGAAGGGCAGUAAGUUAAUACCUUGCUGUUUUGACGUUACCAAAAGAAUAAGCACCGGCUAACUUCGUG